rnacentral:rRNA from 1 species
UACGGGGGGAGCAAGCGUUGUUCGGACUUACUGGGCGUAAAGGGCGCGUAGGCGGUAGCACAAGUCAGUUGUGAAAUCUCCGGGCUUAACUCGGAAAGGUCAACUGAUACUGUGCGACUAGAGUGCAGAAGGGGCAACUGGAAUUCUCGGUGUAGCGGUGAAAUGCGUAGAUAUCGAGAGGAACACCUGCGGCGAAGGCGGGUUGCUGGGCUGACACUGACGCUGAUGCGCGAAAGCCAGGGGAGCGAACGGG